rnacentral:lncRNA from 1 species
CAUAAAUGCAUAUAUCCACUGACAGGCCUGCUAAACUAAUAUACAGACAGCUCUGCAGCCCUGUGCUGUGGUGAUGGGGCUGGGUGGGAUGUGGUGGGAUGAUCUACGGUGGGAAUGCUGUAUAAAAGUGCAGGAGAAGAGAGAGCAAACUUCACACUGAACCGGUACCCAGAGAGUCAAUCAUACCCACCUGCUCCAACAAACAGGAAUUCUUGCAUCUUGGAGCUAUGUCUGUAAACCUGCACAUCUUCUCCAUUCUGCUCGGAACAGUAUUGCUGCCAGCAAUUUUAAAUAGGACAGAAGCUACUGCCCCUCCUACUGUGGACACUACCUCAGUACCAUCAACCACUCUCACACCGACCACUGUAACCACGGAGCCCUCCACUGCUACUGAAACACACACAACCACCUCCACAACUUCAGCUACUCAGACCAGUACUACAGGGGUCAGUUCAGAGACUGCCCAGACCGCCUCCACCAAUACCACGGCAGAUCCUGAUGGUGAGGCACAGGAGGGCGGAAGUGGGUUGACCCCUGGAGAGGUUGCAGGAGUGGCGGUGGGGACCAUCGCUGGAGUCGCUGCACUGGGUGGAGGAAUAUUUGCUGGUUUGAAGUUCAGUGGGAAGCUGGGCUAGCCUCAUCACUUCUUCACUACCUAGAGCCUUAAGACUGAAAGCAGUCCGUUUCUAACAGAAGAAUACUGGAGCUGAGGGCAAUGACAUGAAUGAAAAUGAGUCUCAUCCAGGAUCUGAUGCACUAUAGACACCUUUAAUUGUUAGAGUUUAUAUGAAUAAUCUUUGAUCUGCUAUAAAUUAGGCAAUAUGAUGAAUGGAGUGCACAGAAACAAUAGUCAUUUGCUUCAAGUAUACAGGGGGUUUGGCAGACAGUGAAUUUUAGGGCGCUUUCACUCCUGCCUUGUUUGGUCCGGACUUUCAGACUUUUCAGUUUGGGUCUGAGCCCAAGUAGCAGGUGUGAAAGGGGGUGUGAACCACAAUUUAGACCAAAGGACCAGAGUCUGAUCUGACCCAAAGAAGUAUUCUCAGUCUGGAUCUACUAACCCAUGGUGUGGUUUAUCUGUAGUGUAAAAACACUUUUCUAGAUGGUUGUUUUAGACCAAUUACAGGAAUUUGAGUCAGUCUUUAAACAAACCAAAGGAAAAAGAAAUUGGUGUUGUGCCGAAAUCUGACUCCCCUUGGUUGCCAGGCGCGUCAUGCAGUAGUAUGAAAACAAACACUGACAAAGACUGGAAAUUCAGUUAUUUACUGUAACAGUAGAUUAAUACUUAUUUAAAAACAAAGACACAAGCCAUGUUGCGAACUCUGGGCUGUCCUUCCAGGUGUGAAAAUACUCUUAGACAUAAGCAGUGGAGGAAGGGGACAUCUUAUUUUUUUUAAAUGAGAAGGUGUAGGGGUGUAUCAAAUAAAACUGUUUGAGAAUUGUACCA